UAAUAUUCUUUAUUCUGUUUAAAUUACUACAGGCAUGAGACAGAAAUUCCUCUUUUUAAGGGAAAGGUGUUUUCCAAUUCAGUUCCUCGUAGUGAUGACUAAAUCUGACUGGACCGGUUUAAUCUUUUGUCAUUGCAACAUUCACUGUACCUCACUUAGUUCUGUGUUUAUGUAGUAAAAGGAUGAGUAAUUUUUCGACUUAUAUAAGAACCUGUUAGGACUUCCAUUCCAUUCGUUCUUUCAGUUGGAUGGAAACAGUCAUUGAGGAGAGACUCUAGAUCCCGGAGGGAACAGAGACGGGUUGACUGAACGCAUUAGAAGAACCAUGUUUCACAUUCAAGGGCAACUACGUAGUUGGAAACUCCUGCUGUGUAUUUUGUUAUCAUUGACAGUAGACUUUGGGUCAGGGUUAUGCAGAAGAAGUGAUUGUUCUACAAAUGAAUACUGGAGCGACGGGCUCUGCUGUGACAAAUGUGCUCCAGGGUAUAAGUUGGUGAGAGAAUGCUCUAGUGUCUUGUCAUCUCAAUGUGAGGAAUGUGAGAAUGGGACAUACCUAGACAAGAUGAACUAUUUCCCAAACUGCUUCAGAUGCGAGAAAUGCACCAAGAGACAUGCGGUGGUGAUUUCACCAUGUACACC